rnacentral:rRNA from 1 species
CAAUAGCGUAUAUUUAAGUUGUUGCAGUUAAAAAGCUCGUAGUCGGAUUUUGGCUGAGAACGAUCGGUCCGCCGUUAGGUGUGCACUGAUUGGUCUCAGCUUCCUGGUGUGGAGGUGUGCUUCACGGCCACUUAGUCACCGUGGUUACUUUGAAAAAAUUAGAGUGUUCAAAGCGGGCUUACGCUUGAAUAUAUUAGCAUGGAAUAACACCAUAGGACUCCUGUCCUAUUUCGUUGGUCUCGGGACGGGAGUAAUGAUUAAGAGGAACAGUUGGGGGCAUUCGUAUUUCAUUGUCAGAGGUGAAAUUCUUGGAUUUAUGAAAGACGAACUUCUGCGAAAGCAUUUGCCAAGGAUGUUUUCAUUGA